GGAGCUCCAGCGCAACAACUUCUGAACACUUCAGUUCAAUAUUCCACAAUUUGAUCGACAGGCUUUAAUGAUCGCGAAUGGAGAUGUAAGAUUCUCUCAGGCUGGAUUUCUGCACAUUUGAGAUAAUGCCCUGAGAGGAAAUGACCGGAAUGAAAGAGAAUAACCUUGUGUUCAGAACAACCACAGACAUGCCC